AUUAUAUUAUACUAAUGCAUAAUGUCCCACAAGAAAGCAUUGGAAGCGCUUGAUCGUAAAAUAAACUUACCGAUUUUUUGGUGGAGCACACAUUUUUCGACAAACACUGGCGUUUAUACCAAGUUCAACACCUUCUGACCCACUUAAUGCAUGCCUGAAAUUAUCCAUUUUAUGGCGUCACUUGCAAAUUCACUUUGGAAACCAACAUGGGUUUACAACUACAGCUUGAUGCAUCGGCUGAAAUAUUUGCAAAACAACUUAUGGAUAUUGGAAAUGGGCGAAUGCAAAUUGAUGAUCUUCGCAAUCUAUCACCUUGCCAACAAAGUUUUGUAAGAUCACAGAAAGCUUAUACGAACUACAAAAAUCAUUAGUGGCUAAGUACGCGUGCUAUAUGGGCGGCUAAAAACGUUGAUGCUAACACCAUCAACAUCACUAUUCCGGUGAAAUGAGAACAUAUAAUUCCACCGAUUUUGUAAUGAAUCGGGACGAAGUUGUCAAAUAUUCAACUAAAUUCUCGGUUUGCCUGGCUUGCCGCUGCACGUUCUUACAUUGAAAAUUGGCGUACCAUCCUUCUCCUUCGAAAUUUUAAUCCAACUCGACUUUGCAAUGAACCCAGGCUCUUAGUCAAGAAACUGAUGAACAAUGUUAUCGAAACAACAACUUUGACUGGUAAAUAUAAAGUUCCAGGUGCGUAUUUCCUUCGCAAUGACCACCAACAAACCACAAGGACAAUCAUUGCAAGUGUGUGGACUAAAUUUAGAGAAUCCAAGCUUCUCACAUGGGCAGCUCUAUGUGGCCUGCUCGCGCGUCGGAAAAUUUUCUGAUUUAUUCGUUUUCGCACCUGAUGAAAAAACAUUGUAUAUCCCAAUGCACUUCUAUAAAUGUUGAAUAUAAACCUAAACGAAAA